UACGUAGGGGGCAAGCGUUGUUCGGAAUUACUGGGCGUAAAGGGCUCGUAGGCGGCCAACUAAGUCGGAUGUGAAAUCCCCAGGCUUAACCUGGGAACUGCAUCCGAUACUGGAUGGCUUGAAUCCGGGAGAGGGAUGCAGAAUUCCAGGUGUAGCGGUGAAAUGCGUAGAUAUCUGGAGGAAUACCGGUGGCGAAGGCGGCAUCCUGGACCGGCAUUGACGCUGAUGAGCGAAAGCUAGGGGAGCAAACGGGG
rnacentral:rRNA from 1 species